CGACUGUUUUAACAAAAACAUUUCUUUUGGUGUUAAUAAAAAGUAAAGUCUGCCCACUGAUUUAAUUAAUGAAGGGCCGCGGUAUUUUGACCGUGCUAAGGUAGCAUAAUCAUUAGUCUCUUAAUUAGGGAAUGGAAUGAAUGGCUUAACUUAGAGGAAUUUUAUUAUUAGAAUUGGGUGAAUUUUAAUUUUAUGUGAAAAUUUUUAAAUAGAACAAAAAGACGAUAAGACCCUAUAGAGCUUAAUUCUAAUUAAUUAACAACUUCUUGGGGGAAGAAGUUGUUAAUUAAUUAGAAUUUAGUUGGGGCAAUUUUAGAAUAAAUAUAACUUCUAAUUAGUUUGAAGUCUUAAAUUUUAAGGUUAAAAAAGUUACCUUAGGGAUAACAGCGUUAUAAUUUUUGAGAGUUCAUAUCGACGAAAUUGUUUGCGACCUCGAUGUUGAAUUAAAAAUUCUAUAUAGGGCAGGUUUUAUAUAAGAUAGUCUGUUCGACUAUUAAAUUUUUACAUGAUUUGAUUCAGACCGGA
rnacentral:rRNA from 1 species